GAUUUCUGACGGACCGGCGUAGCCCUUUUCCGUUUCGGGAAGGAGUGCUGUGCCGUGUUUGUCAUCCUUCCAGAAAGCUGCGCCUACCGUUUAUUCGGCCGGGUGUAUGUGAUCUGGAUCUAUUACUUUGAAAAAAUUAGAGUGUUUAAAGCAGGCUUACGCUAUGAAUACAUUAGCAUGGAAUAAUAAUUUAGGACUUCGGUUCUAUUUUGUUGGUUUCUAGGACUGAAGUAAUGAUUGAUAGGGAUAGUUGGGGGUGCUAGUAUUCAGCGGCCAGAGGUGAAAUUCUCGGAUUCGCUGAAGACUAACUUAUGCGAAAGCAUU
rnacentral:rRNA from 1 species